CUGGGUUAGGUGAGAAGAUGGAGGCAGGUGGUGGGGAAGACUCAGACAGCGAAGCUGGUAUUAGCUCUCCUGGAGGGACUGCUGAGAGGGGAUGACUCUGUCUAGGAGGUCCACAAUCAGAAGUCCUUUGUUCAAUGAGGACAUAGAAAAGGAAGCCCAACAGUCACACCUGUGCUGCCUCAGGUUGACAACCCCUAUGCCCCUGCACUCCUGUUCACUUCCAUCCUAGGUAUGCUGUUAAUAAAGGGAGAAGACAUCAGAUACAAACAAUAUUGGCACUUAAUAACAACUCAGGUAUAAAGUCUGAUCAAGUAGCUGAAAUCCACAGUUCAUUCUGAAAGCAAGAUUUGAUGUAUGGUUUCUUAUUUAUGGGUUUUCCUCUCUUGUUAACAUAUAUAAUUAAAUGCAUGAUAAGUAGUUAAAUAUUAGAAAUCAAGUCUCAAAAACUACUUUAAGAAGGAAGGAUGAGGUAGCAAAUUACUCUCCAUCCAGGGAAUGAUGACAGAGUAUGAAAGAGUAUAAGGCCAUCUAAUUUUGUCAUCUCUUGCAUCUACUUUUUAGGGCCUUUGAGCCUCUAUCUGUUUCCUAACAUGUCCUCCCAGGACUGUCACACUCCCAUG